CUUCCCCGCACCCUCCCUCCCCCGAACUCCCACCCCCAGUGUCCCGUCAGAGCCGGCAGCGCCAAUUCACGGGGCGACGGCAUCGUCAUCCCGCUACAGCUCCUGAGGACGGAGACGGUGGCGGCGGCGGGGAGCUUCGGGGGACGCGGGGAGCCUGCGGCCAUCCAGGGGCGGGAAGGAAGGAGCGCGCAUCCGGCCUACCGGCCUCCGGCCUCGGAAGCUCCGUCCCAGGGUGGGCAGCGAGACCAGAUGGGCCCGAGAAAGGCGCCAGUCUUCCAAGGCCAAGAGCUCCAGCUAAGUGCGAAGGAGUUGGGUUUUCCAUCCAAACGCACUUCGUGAUUCACAGGAUCUUUUUAACACUUCUCCUCCUAAGAAAGAAGAUUUGGAUGAGCUGGUUCAAAAUAUAGCCCCAGGAUUAAAAAGGUGAUGGCUCUUAAGGAGCUCAGCCUUCUCUUCCUGGUGAUCCAUCUGUACACAUGGAUUCUCACUACUGCUUCUGAUGCUCAGAGACUUAGCAAUCUUUUCUAUAUGGACCUCAACUUUGAGUUGGACACUCACAGCCACCACUACAAUGUUUCCUUGAACAGACACCUCUACUGAGACCUCCUCUGCUGUGACUUCUGGGGCCAUUUUUGGAAGUUAGAAGCCAGAAACCAACUUUUCCAAUUCAAAAAUGCUGUACAAGAAUUCAAGAUCAUGAUGUCACAAAAGGAUGAAGAAAGCUGGCUUUCAGAUUCAAAACUGAGAAGAGACCCCUUUUAUCUAGUUGAAUUUUUCUUUCCAAGAAGUAAUGAAUGUCACUGAUUCAAUGUGUACUGAGCCACGGGGCAAAGAGUUUAUGAAGAAUUAAAUAUUCAUUGGUUUCACUGGCCAAAAGUACUAUCUUCAUUAGAGUUAUCAAAGUAUAUUGAAUCAGAAAAUUUGAGUUCUGGUCACCACUUGUCUAUUGAUAUACUUUGUGACCUCCAUAAUAAAAAAAUUAAUAACAGCAUUAUUGGUUCUAUUUUGAUCCAGUGAAACUAGGCUAUCAGUAAUAAUAGGUCUUUUAUUUUUUGGCACUCCUAUUCUAUUCCCCCAAUAAUUAUCUUACAUCUCUAUCAUUUCCCUCCAAUCUCUGACCACAACCUUCUUAUAUGAGAAAACAUAAAUUCUUAUCGUUUAAACUGCUAUUGUGCUUUAUGACAUCUGCUAUCACUUUCCUAAAUGAUACAGGUGGGUACACUUGCAGGUACAUUUGUUGAUCUGGCAAGAAGUUAGAGAGUUUCCAAUGGCUUCUACUUUCUCUUUAAAGUAGUAGAUGGUGUUAUCUUCUGAGUUUGAGGGAGCAGACUCUAAGGAAGAACAUCUAAGAAUAACAAAAAUGAUGUUACAUUUCUUUGUAGAGGCAAGGAGAAAGAAAUCAUUGAGUAGAUAUUGGAAGGAUCCUGGAUACUGUGGAGGUCAACAGGAUGUUAUAAGCAAUGGAUUUCUUUAUAGUAGAAUCAAGCUGGGAAUUAUUUUGUUUGACUUGAUAACAUAUAGGACCAGAGAAGGUAGGUGAUUGGAUUGAUCUAGGUGUGUAUUUUGCAGGAAGGAUUUGAGAGAAGGAUGCCCUGGCACAGUCAUUGAAGAGAUUGGCAAGAAACAAGAAAAAGUAGUAUACUGUGGAAUCAGCCAGAAUUAGGAAGGAUUGGAGGAAGGGAGAUGGCUGCUCAGCUCAUUCUUCUGCUAAUAUCCCUGAAAUGGGGCUCUGAGAAACGUUAUAUCCUCGACAUGCCUACACUGGAAUGAUCUAACCCCUGACUAUUUCCAGCCUCCUCUGUGUCACUCUUCCUCUUGUUCUCUACAUUCAAGCAAUGCACAGAGGGGACUGGAAGAAAGCCAAAUAUGUAGUUUUGAUGAAUUCUGUUUGUGUUAUUUUUCCACUUGCAUCCUUCUUGGCCUGGUUUCAAAAAAAGAGUUGUUUUUUUUUCCCCCAUAGACACAUUUUCACUAGCAUGCUCUCCUUUUAUCUUUUAUCUUUAAACCAUACUGUUAAUUUUCCUUAUUUGAUUUUUUUUCCUUCUUUGAUUUCUUUUCCAUGAAGCCUAAUUGGUCUCCCUAUCUCCAUUCUCUUACCUCUCUAAUUCUUUUUCAUAGUGAUGUUUAGAUUACCUUCCUAUUACACAGAGCAAAACACAUUCUUCUGCUGUUCUGCAAGCUUAUAUAAAAUAGUACAAGCUCCCAAUGGCAGGAAGUUCUCCACUAUCUAGCCUCGGCUUUACUUUCCAGACUCCUUUCUUCUACUACUUGCCCUCAGCACACUAUGUUCUACCACUCUGGCCUCUUCAUAAUUCCUUAUAUCACGAAAAUUCAAAUGUUGUUGCUCUUGUUCAUGUAAUUUAUUCACUUCUCACCUCCACUUUUUAGUGCCCUAUUCAUUCUUUGGUAAGUUGUGUAGCUGUCCAUUUCCCCAUUAAACUUAAAAGUCUCUUUGGGCUGAGAGUUUAUCUUGGUCACUAGAAUAGCAGUUUAGCUUCUACUUCAGUGGUAAGUAACUACCUCAUUGACUAGAGCAGUAGAUGGAAUGGAAGGGCAUUUUGCCAUAGUUUAGGGAGCCCCUGACUAGCAAGUUAUAACAAAUAAAGGAAAUUAGUAUUUAAUAUAUAUUUUUAAUAAAAGACCCAUUAAUAACAUAUAUGUCUUUCUCAUCAUUUGACAAAUUUUCCAUUUGCAUAGCAAUCUAUUUUUUAAAAAAAUCAUUCAUCCACUCAUUCAAAGACCACCCAAUUUAACUUCCUUGGUUUAAAAAUAAGGAAACUGAGUCACAGGAGGUUGAAAUUAUUUGAUAUGGGUCACACAUCUUGUACAUGGCAAAAGAAAUGAAUAGUACCUAGUCCUGGGUUUGGUUCCUAACCCAAGCUUCCAAAAUUUAAUACAAAAUUCUUAAAAAUUUGAGAAUGUGAUAAACAGAUUGAUGGUACUCUAGAAAACUAUGAGGAAAAAGAUCUUGAUUACCAAAUUCCAAAAAUUUCAUAUAUGAAAGAAGUUCUGCUCUACUUCAGGCUCUCAUUACUUUAUAGAUGAUUUUAUAAAACCUUUCAAACUUGUUUCAUUGCUUUCAGUUUUCUCCUUGCAAAUUCAUGUCACAUAUCUCCAUCAGAUCACAUUCCAGCUCACAACCCUAAAAUGAAAGUUUCAUUUCAUCAUCCACCUAUUUUCAUGUCCUACCAGAAAUGGGAACUUCAAAAAUUCUCUAUUUUGGUAUCUUCCAGCUAGGAGAAAAUAGGAAGGAGCAAAUCAAUCCUAAUCACCCAGAUUUAAUUAUCUCCAACCAUAAAUAGUGAUUUAACAGCAAGAAAGAAAGAAGGAAGAUAAUUAGGACAAGAGUCUCUGAGGGAGGGAAAAUGGAGAAGCAGCAUGCCGAGUGCAUGAAGGGAAGAAAUCUACACAUAUAUUAUUGAUCAAGGGGCAAAAUUUUGAAUUGAUUGGUUAUACUUUUCCCAAAGUAACAGACAGUGAAGGUUAGAAGGAAGUGAAAUUGCUGUUGGGAAAAAAUGGGUGAAUACAAGAAUAGAAAACUUAAACAAAAAGUGACGACAUUGAAGAAUGGAACUCAACAAAAUUCUCUAUUACUUUAUCUAAAGGAAACAAAGAACUGGAGAUUCGUGAUGAUUGCAAAGAAUAAUCCAAAGCCCAACAGCAUUUCUUGGUGUGAUGGAAGACAUCCACAAUGCCAACAGACAGACAGCAUUUAGACAGAGAUAUUUAUUAAAAUCUCAGGAGUGUAGAGUGCAGUCCUCCAACCAAGAACUGUGCACUGCCUCUGUCAAGCUCCUUCCUCUUCCUUAAACCUGGAGUAUUAGAACAGCAGGUGGAGUUCACCCACACUUUAGCAGAGCAAAUAGAAGGUCUAGACAAAGCUGCUGUAUAGAAACAAAGAUGAAAGAAAAGGGCACAGUACUUUACAAGAUUGGCAAAAUAAAUAAAUAUGAAAAAGUUUCAAUAUGCAUAAUCGGGUAUCUCUUUGUAAAAUUAGAAUCACAUAUCACUUUUUUGUUCAUCUUUGGGGACUCCAGUAAAAAGUCUAUUAUUUGUCUCCCUUCUCUUUCCAUAAUUAUUAGUACCUGGAUAUUUCUGACUUCCCUAAGGCAGAGACUUAUUUUCUCAGCAGUGCCUAGAAUGGCACUUUUUUCAUUGAAGACAGCUCAUAAACACUAGGGAAAUUGAUUUUUGUUUUUAUUUUUUUUAAACUUAAAAUCAGUUUAUUAACUUUUGAGUUUGAUAUUUAAGUUAUUGUACAAACCAUUGGCCUCAUAAGUCAAAAUCUAAGAUCCAUGUUAAAAUCUUGUGUAUUUUUGCCUUAAAGAGAAAUAAUUCAAAAUAGUAAAUGUCUGAUUUUAUAAAGAAAAAAGAGAUUUCUGAAAGUAUAAGAAACUAGAUGCUCUCCCUUUACUGGCUAGAGCCCUUGGGAAGAAAGUAAACUGUGAAGACUCAAACUGUAGCCUACCCCAUCCUAUCACAGCCGUGUGCACGUCUUACCCACAGGAGCCACCCUUUCCAGAAGCAGCGUUUUUGGUCAGAUGGUGGUUCUGAAACUUAAUGGGGCAAGGUAAGAUGGGUCAGGCUGAAGCCAGGAGCUAGAAGUUUCAUCCAGGUAUCCCACACAAGUGCAGGGGCCCAAGCACUUGGACCACCUUUCAGUGCCAUUAGCAGGGAGCUGGAUCCACAGUGGAGCAGCCAGGACUCAAACUGGUACCUAUAUGGAAUGUCAACAUCAUAGGAGGCAGCUUAACUUGCUGCACAGCAACACUGGCCCCAGGAAAUUUAAUUCUAAGGAGAGAUGCUUCCUUUGCACAUAGUAUCCACUCUUUUUUUUUUUUUUAAGAUUAAUUUAUUUGUUUGAAAGGCAGAUAGUUAUAGAGAGUCAGAGGCAGGGAGAGAGAGAGAGAGAGAGAGAGAGAGAUGCAUGUCUUCCACCACUGGUUCACUCCCCAAAUGGCCACAAUGGCCACAGCUGGGUCG